AAUACGUUCCCGGGCCUUGUACACACCGCCCGUCACGUCACGAAAGUCGGCAACACCCGAAGCCGGUGGCCCAACCCUUUUGGGAGGGAGCCGUCGAAGGUGGGGUCGGCGAUUGGGACG
rnacentral:rRNA from 1 species